CAUUCUCUCUUGCCUGCCGCCAUGUAAGACAUGUCUUUGCUCCUGCUUCACCUUCUGCCAUGAUCAUGAGGCAUCCCCAGCCAUGUGGAACUGGUCUCACUUCACCCAGGCUGGAAUGCAGUGGUGUGAUCACAGCUCACUAUAGUCUCGAUCUCCUGGGCCUCCCACAUCAGCCUUAUCACUCAUUCUGGGGGCAGCCCUCUGGCAUGUAAUGAGCAGUCCUAUGGAGAGGCCCAUGUGACAGUAGCCAUGCGAGUGACACUGGAAGUGAAACCUGCAGCUCCAGUCAAGCCUUUAGAAGACUGCAGCCCUGGCUGACAGCUUGACAGCAAACUCAUGAGAGACUCUCAGCUUGAACAACUCAGCUAAACUGUUCCUGGGUUCCUGGUCCUCAAAAACUGUUAUAAAAGACAUUGUGGCUACCAUCUCUCAUCACUCACUCAAAGGGAAGCCAACCACCAUGCAAUGAGAAUCUCAGGUAAUGAGGACCUGAGACCUGUUGUCAAUCACGUGAAUAAGCUUGGGAGGAGAUUCUCCAGCCCCAGUCAAGCCUCAGAAGACUUCAGCCCUAGGUGACAGCUUGAUGAUAAUCUCGGGAGGCAGAACCACCCAACUAAGCCACUCCUGGAUUCCUGACCCUGACCCUGACCCUAGAAACAGUGUGAGCUGGAAUUCUGUGAAGCACAUGACCUCAAGUCUUUGGAUAAAUGGAAACGCAGCUUAUGCCGGAAAGAUGGAAGGCUGGCUGUACUAAUAUCAGAAAUGGAAGAGGAGAGACAUCACUAGAGAUCCCAUGGAUAUUGAAAGGAUAAUAAAGGAGUAUUAUGAGCAUUGUUA
rnacentral:lncRNA from 1 species